rnacentral:rRNA from 1 species
UGGGGAAUAUUGGACAAUGGGCGAAAGCCUGAUCCAGCCAUGCCGCGUGUGUGAAUAAGGUCUUCGGAUUGUAAAGCACUUUAAGUUGGGAGGAAGGGCAGUAAGCGAAUACCUUGCUGUUUUGACGUUACCGACAGAAUAAGCACCGGCUAACUCUGUGCCAGCAGCCGCGGUAAUACAGAGGGUGCAAGCGUUAAUCGGAAUUACUGGGCGUAAAGCGCGCGUAGGUGGUUCGUUAAGUUGAAUGUGAAAGCCCCGGGCUCAACCUGGGAACUGCAUCCAAAACUGGCGAGCUAGAGUAGGGCAGAGGGUGGUGGAAUUUCCUGUGUAGCGGUGAAAUGCGUAGAUAUAGGAAGGAACACCAGUGGCGAAGGCGACCACCUGGGCUCAUACUGACACUGAGGUGCGAAAGCGUGGGGAGCAAACAGG